ACUCCUCGCACUUCAGCGAGUGCAACUAGUUGCCUCUCACGCACAGGAACGUAGAAAGUUUCUCUGGCAAGGGACAGGACUUUCCUAAGAAAAGGUAACCCCCUCUCGCUCUCCCGCCCAGAAAGGCCGUCUCGGGAGCGCGGAGGUAAGGGGCGAGGACCGCGGGAGCCAGCGCAGUCAGGGACGCGCGGCUUCGCACUUGUGCCAGGAGCUGCCGCCGGGGCUGCGCCCUGUUCCGGCCCCUACCUCGGCACGGCAGCCCGGCUGUCCCGUUGCCCACCCGCCGCCGCCCCGCUCAGCCCUACUAAGCCCCGCUCAGCACGCCUGCGCUGCCGCUGCCCCCGGCCCCGGCACACCGCGGCGGGCAUGGACCGCCGGUUUACCCGGCCACCAGACAACUCCGAAGUGUCCCUCCCGGCCUUCCCCGGCCUCGCAGCCCGGGGCCUGGGCCUUUCGCCUUUGCUACUCCCUGACAUCUGCAGUGAAUAGUGAUGCGAGCAAAGGAGAGGGCCCUGAAGGGUCACAGGUUGACUAAUGCCAAUCCACUCGAGUACAGGUAGCGAAGUCUCCACUUGACUUUUUCCAUUUGUUUCUUCUACAAGAAACCAAUACUAUAAAGCAAUCCUGAGUUUUUGGAAGGACUAUGAGUGUAUGAAUGAUCAAGUGCUACACAACAGGAGUGGUUGGUGUACCCUUUUACAUAAUGCAUUUGUCUGCUUAUUCUCAAGCUGGCCAGUGUGGAUGGAGGCAAAGUCCUUUCCUGCUCUGAAAGUGAACGCUCUUUUCUGCAGAAAAUUCAGCAGCUCCAUAUGGUCUUUCUUGCUACUUAGUGUGGGGAAGCGGAAGAAAACCUAUAAUUGCUUAGUCACAUUUCAUGCUCUUACCCUUCACCUUGUUUUAUUUCCUAAGUAUUAUUUCACUGCGUGGAUUGAGUGGCUCUUGUCCAACCAGCUGCAUCACCCUCUUUUUGUCAAGUUAACUUCACUCUCCAAAGGGUGUAAGUCAAAAAUUUAAAAGAGGAGGCAAAGUUAAGCCCUAUAUUCAGAGAGAGACGUGAGAGAAAACUCUUGGUUUUCAGAAGUACUGAAUGUCAGAAGCUUUUGAGGUCAGCAAGUCACCUGCAAUGAGGGGGGGAAAAAUAUGGAUUUGUGAAGAUUCUUUCCUACCUGCCUUCUCUUUCCUUACGUUGCAUUUGGUGAUACUAUUUAAAGCAUAACUUAAGCUGUUUGCCUUUGAAUUUCAUAAUUUGCAUUCAAUGAAUUGUACUAACAUGGUCAUCUCUUUCCUAAAUAAUUUCAGGCUUAAGAGAAGUAAAUCUUCAUGAAAACAAGUCUAUAAAAACCUUGUAUUUGCUGUCUUGGAUAACAGCAAGAUAACAGACUUAUCAGAAAGAUAACAGACUCAGAAAACACUUUUGACCUACAAAAAUACAACUAGAAAAUCUUUUAAACUAAAAAAGCCUCCAAAAGCCAACCUUCAAAUUGUCAUAGUGUGGGACAAGCCCGAAAUACAAAAUGAAUUUUGAAACUGAGAGCUCAGAGAGUAACUGGAAAGGGAGAAAACUCAGAUUUGUGGGAGUAAUUGUAAUUGACAACUCUGCCACAGACUAGGUUGUGACUAGUGCCAGCAUGCAUCUUGCUAACAGGCUCCUUCAGCAGGGAAACAUGCUAACAACUCCUUCCUUUCUAGAGGACUUCUUGUGAAUGGCGCGCAGUGGUCUAACCUGAGGUACUCAAGCACGGUAAUAAUGAAGGUCUUUUGAAGUCUGGUUUCUUUCCACUUCAAUGAAGCAAAUUCCUUUAAGGGGAAUAGUCCCCUAGUAACAUCGGUUGUUUUAAUAGACAUAUCACUUUAAAGCAAGCUCUUAAACAUCUGUUGCACUCUCUCUUAAAAUGUAAGGUACAGCUGACUUGAAAGAUUGCGUGUAUCUUUGCUCAGUGUAACUUGCUUCAAAUUGAGGAGAGAUGGGAGGGUUGCACUGUUGUUACAUGGUAUGGUCCCAAGACAAGUCUCCCAGUAAGGGGCCUGGUCUUGAUGUCGUUGGAUCACGUUGCUAUUUUGGUAUUCAUUUUGGUGAGAGUGAGCAGGGUCGUACCAGAUGUAAUGAGUGUUUGGUCUGGGUCAAAAGGGACUGAGGGGAGUCCUACAGAAACAGAUCUCCUAACCAAACAGUUUUUCACAGUGAUUUAUUGUAAAUGUGACUUUCACGGGUAGGAAUUAAAUGAUGAUUUUGUUAAAUCAAUGUCUUUGGGCUGAAGUAAAUUCCAGUGAGCUCAGUGGAAGUGAUUUCAGAAGGCCAAAAUGUAGUACAAUACACUGGUUCAAAUAAAUUGAUUCUGUGUGACCAUGGAAAAGGUCAUGCUAGAAAUAGUCCUAAGAGAGCCCAAGGAAGGUCUGUAGGGCCCACUUUUACACCAGAAUAGAAGAAUAAUACCUUAUCUAUUUAAAGCAAUAGGGGAAUGUAAGUAGGCAAGAUGUAAUUAUAUAGAUUGGUGUUUGGCCAGGCACUCCAAAACUACCAAAACCAGGCACUACCAAAAACUACCAGGGUGUUUAAUGUCCACAAGUGCUUGGUAUCCUUGGUUUUACCUCUUAAAUAAAGACAGCACUUGUGAUCAUAUCGUUUAUGCUGGUUCAAUACUGAGUCAGCAGAAGAAUGUCACCUUGCACAAAUACCCAUUCACACAGUAACUUGGAAUUUCCUUGGAGGUCUUCCAUGCAAAUACUAUAGACCCAACCCUAUUUACCUUGGGAAAUGUAGUGAGAUUACAGCCAUAAGUAGUAUGGCUCCAGAGAAUCAUGUUUGCAUAUGUUGCUAAAAACAAUAUGGACUUUGAAAUAUUUAUAAGUAAUUUUUAAAUUAAAGCAAUAUUUUUUUACAUUGUAUCUCAGUAACAACAAGGUUUUGUUGUUGUUUAAGCAAAGGGAUUAUACUUAGUUAUUCUGAGAAAAACUAAUGACAGACAGUCGCUAUUUUGGCAAUGUAUCAUGAUUAUGAUUUAUUGAAGUGCCUACCAUAUGCUGCAUCCAUUUAGGUACCUGUCGCAAUUUUGUUUUACAAAAGCAGAGCUUUGAAAUAUGGCUUCUUAUUUUCAGGUUCAAGUAUGAAAUCCAAAAGCCUGUUAAUUAGGCAAAGUGUGUUGAUCUAUAUACUUCAGGUAAUUAUUGGUGCUUCAUGGCUUUAUAGUCAUAAAAAGAAAGAAUGAAUGGGGGUUCUUUUGACUUGGUUAUCAGAUUUCAGGUUUAAAAAGAAGGUGACACACCCUUUUCAGUAAUUCGACAUGCAGGGUUCAGCUGUGGGUUCAAAAACAGGUUACAACUGGCUAGUCAUUGUGCUCUUGAAAUGCCAACUGUGCCUUUAAGUAUGUUAUAUAACCUAUUUUUUGGUUUCAGUUUUCAAGUAUGGCAUCAUUUCAGUGUUAUUUGGAUUUCCAUAUAUUUUUUAAUCCAAACAAAUCUGACCUCAAUCAUAAGGUUCCAUGGCUCCAAAUAGCUGAGCUUUUCUAAUAUUUUAUUUUGAGUGCCUACGUUCAAUACUUCAUCACAUAGAUAUGUGCUGCAGACUGUGCCAAAUACUGUGCCAGGGAUGUCCUCAAUUAUCUUCAGUGCUUACCAGGAGAGGGCUCUGUUCUGCAUACCAUACACAGAAAAAAGUCCUACUGAAAUUAGUGUGGGUUUUGAUUCUAAAGCUUGCUUGAAAUGAAGCUGGCUAAGUGCAAAUGAAAACCUACAUUAUUUCAGCUGCCUGUGGAGGCGGAAUGAGGUGUGCUUGAUAAUCUUAAUUUGUAUCCUGCUAUUACACCAGGAUCUUUUUUUCCUUCCUGGGAGAGACCCAGUCUGCUUCCUGCAAGGUACCUUUCUGUCAUGUUUUGUGUAGGUUUCAUGAGGUUUCAUUUAAGUAAUCUACAGAGCUGACCCAGAAAAAAUAUUGGGCCAUAUAUUUUUGUUUAAUGAACCAUGUUUUCCUUGAUCAUUGUGGGAUACAAAAACUAUGUCUGCACUGAUCAGGGACAUAGAUCUAGCACACAGAUCUGUUAACUUACUUCUUGGUGUGGUUUUGCUCUCAUCAGUUAGUGUUCGCAUAAAAAAUGCCCUGGUGGAGUUCGAGGUGUGGUAUGGGUCAAGGACGAUUCCUGGUGCUUUGACUAGUCCAGGUAUUCAUCCUAUGCUGGAGAAUGAGACAGUUGAUAAUGAGAAUUUUGGCUUUCCAGAAACGCUGCUCUGACAGAUGGCCUCAGGUCAGAAAGCAAUCUUCAGAUAAUUUCCUAGUGCAGAUGUAGCCUGAAAGUCAGUCUUAGUCCUGUUCCAGAGACAACAUUAGGUCAGGUUGUUGGGGAGGUAAGAGAACUGUCAGGGCUGGCAUUACCUCACCUCCAGAGCCUCUGGCACUGGGGGAGAACUGAGGGUGUGCCCCACACCCAUCUAUGUUUAUUCUGGCUGUAGAAUUUUGUUUCAGAUUUCAUUUCAUCAUAAAUAAAAUAAAGAGUAAUCCAUGGAUGAUUUAUAAAAAUGUGAAUAUUUUAAUCUGUUUCAUUAAACAUUAGUGCUGCUGCUUAAUGUAAUUCCCUUGAAUUUACUUUUUAAUCAGUUUCAUGUUAGAUGUAGUUUCCUCAGUUUUUGAUUACUUCUAGGAAUUUCCACCAUAUUUUAAAACGUCUCUCUGGUUAUUUUUAUCCAUUUACAACAUUCUUCAAUGGAAUAACUCUGAUAUGGCUACCAUGCUAUUUUUAAAGAUCUAUUUAAAGCAUCCUCAAAACCUGUAAGACGUAAAACCCAGCAUUUUGAAAAUGGUUUUUGGUUACGUAUAUAGGUAGCAUAAACCAAAGACAUCAUUUACUGUCAUUAAUCAGAAAUGAUCUGUGUAAGUGAGUAGUUGUGUUUGUUAUUCAACUAUCAGCAUGUUGAGGUUUCCAGUGAAACCAAUAGUAAACCAUUCAUCAAUGUCAUCGUCAGGAGGAUUGGGCUUGUUAUGCAAUAAACUGAAAUACAGAUUCACACCAAGAACUUUUUACUACUCUGUAACAUCAUAUUGUUGCUGUAUUGCAUUAUAGUAUAAUAACAUGUAGUCAGUAAAGAAUUAUUUGCCAUAAGUUUUUUCACAUCUUUUAUAGAAGUAAAAAUGACAUUGCCAAAUGACACUACAAAUUAUUACCAUUACCAUAUAUUACCAUUACCUAAAAAUAACUCUGUUACUUCCAGAAGCAUAAUUGAAUUCAAUUCUCCAGUAGUACAAGAUUAAAUGAAUUUCAGGCAAUUUCACUCAUUUAUUUGCAGGUGGUGUGCAAUAGAGGAAGGAAACAGAAAAACUAUAAAACGAAAAGCAGAGAUUAAAAAAAAUUAUGCCAAAGAGUAUUUGCAGAAAACCUGUUUUAUUUCAAAGUACAAGUUCCUUUCACCUGUUGAAAUGUUCGGUUCAAAGACUAGACAUUUCUGAACAUGUACUUUAUAGCUUCAGUAUAAUCUAUAAGUAUAUGUAGAUAUAAACUGCCAGUUUAUUUGCUGAAUUGUCAUAAUGGUAGUAGGCAGAAAACCAGGCAUAGUAUUUAGGGAUAAUCAUUCUUCCUUUUCGGUAAGUAUUGCAGUGUUGUCUUGUGUUGGGGUUCUCCUGACCACACUCUUCAGGUGUUGUUUUUUGUGAGGACCUCAUCCUGAAUCUCAGAGAUAUCAAUUAGAAAUAAACUGAUUAGGUUAUUUUAAGGACAUUUAAACAGCAGUUGUAGAGGUCUGUUUUGUACAUGGCUGUUAGUUAAUCCUGAGGUUACACUCCUUAUUAAAUCAUUCUUUAUGCAUUUCAAUAUUAAGAUGUCCAGCAAGAGGUUUGUUCCAUUCUGAUUGUGAAAUAAUAAGCAUACUCUGAAAGAAUCACUUAAGUUCAUGGCUUGUGCAUUCUUCCAAUGGGUCUAGUAUUUUAUGUAAUAUAUUAGUAGUUAUUAAUAUAGUUAUUAUAUUUAUAUUUGGUUACUUAUUAAAAUUUACUCAUAAUUUAUACAUUCUGCUUGGAGGUCUUACUGCACUUUGUAAAAGCAGAGGUAGGCAUGGUCUCUGCCCCAGAGAUCUCACCAGCUAGUCCCAUGUAAACCACACAAAAGAAGUUACUAAAAAAAUUUCCUCUGACAUGGUAGUCCACUGGUUGAAGUCAGUGGAAAGAAGCACUUCUAUUUUAGUAUUAACUGGAACAUGUCUUGCUGCAUAUCUGUAGAUUUUUUGGGGACAUUAUUACUGCAGUUACACUGGACUGCAUGAAUGACGGAACAGUCUUUCAGCAGAGAAAUAACGGAUUGUUUGAUGUACUUUCUGAAACCACCAGCUCCACAUUAUAAGGAAGUUUGCAGUUAGGCAACAGCUGUCCUGGGACAGGAAAAGGAAGCUUUUGGCAACAGUCUCCAAAGCAGUCCCAAGUAGUGUAAAACAGAAGGCAGAGGUUCAUCAAGAACAUCUUUGCUGUUGCAGUGAAAAAGAGAGUAGAGGAGAUGGACACAAAAGAUGUGGACCACUGAUGAUGAGAAAGCAACUAACAUAAAUCUCCACUCCUUGCCCUAUAGCACACCACUUCAUCAAAAGAUGUACAAAGUACUCUUCCUCCUCCCUUUUUGCAUUAGUUGACUACACUUGUGACUGGCUGUGAAUGUGAGUGCUUUAUUAGCAUUUGAAUAAUCUGUACUGCUGUGCAAAUGAGACUGAAGAUUGAACUCCACGGAAAAAUAAAAAAAAAUAUACAUAUUCUAAAAGGUGACAGCCUGUGUUUCAUUUUCCCUUCUCCAUAUCCUGUUCUGGCAAAACUUUUCUCCACUUCUGACUUAAUAAAAGCAUAUACACAUUCUGAGAUUUUUUUUUAAAUACACAUUUUUAUUAUUCACACUUUUGAAGCUCAGAGAGGGACCAAUUUAGAGGGCCUAAAUUCUGGGGAGAGUUUUGUUCUGGAAGCAAUUAUUUUUAUUGAGAACUAUUGAUGAGGUGAUUACCUAAAAAUUCAGUGGCAGGAAAUUGAAGAGGAGGCAAUUUCUGAGUUUUGAAAGAUCAUCAAUAACAAGUGAAAACAAGUCAGGUUUCUCCAUGGAUUGUUUACACAAGAGUAGUUGUUGAUAAAUGAACUUCAGAUUGGGUAUUAGAGGUACAUAGUGUGCAAAGUGUAAUAACAGUUUUACUGCUCAGAGCUUGUGAAGACUGCAUAAUUUAUAGGCAAUUUACUCAAGCAUUGCAAACAAUUAGUAAAAUCCUUAUAGCAGUCCUCCUCAUCGUGCAUCCUGAAAACAGGCAGCAACUUUUAAAAUAAUUUUACUCUAUAGUGGAAGGAGUUUAACACUACCUACGUGGGGAUGAGAAUUAAUAAAUAAAUAUUUUCAUAGGUAAUAUAAACCAUAGUUACGAUGCUCAGAUGUAUGGUGUCAUGGCUUUGCUCUAACAGUGUAGUAGUUAAGACAUGGAAUUACCAUAGUUGGCAGCGAGAGGAAAUGCUGUUUCAGUUGUGUAAAUACACUGUUAGUUGUGAAAAGUCAGAGAUUAAUUGACUUUGAUGAAUUGAUAAGGAGGAGGGCGACCAGUGCUGGAGCCUUUUCCUCGUUCUGCCAGGUUCCAGAUGAUGUGGCAGAGAGGUUUUCCUGCAUUCCUUCCUGGUACCUUCACUUCUGAAGAUGAAUGGUAAUGGCAUCGAUGUCAAAGAGCCAGGAGAAGAGCGGGAAUGCUCUUGUAUCAGAUUUGCCUUCACCUAUUUGAAAGUUUAAAAACCAUUUUGUCGUGGUUAAAGACUUUCAGGAGGAAAAGAUUAACAGAGGGCAAGUGAAGUAGUAAGAUUACUCAGGUAUUCAGGAACCUUCUUACUUGUCUUGUUUGGUAUUGUGCAUACUGCUGUGAAUCAAUCAUAAUGUGAAACAGGAUUUCUAGUAGUGAGAAGUACUGCUGAAGUAACUAAUACAUUAUUUAAAAAAGUAUUUAUUACAAAAAGGUGUCUGUUUCAGCAAUUAUUCUCAAGUGGAACAAUCUGGAAAAAUAAAGCAAUACGCCCCUGACAUACCUGCUAGCUCUCUAUGGAGGAGGUAGAUUUUCUGCAUCAGAAAAAAGAAGUUUCUCAGUCUCUAUAGGUAGAAAUGUGGUGGCAUUUUUUCCCUACUGUCACUAAUAUUUGGGUGAAAAUUAGAGUAAGGAAAAGUAAUCUCUGUAAUUUUAAUUCUGAGAAGUACUUGGCAAUUAAAAUUCUUACAGGUUUUAAUGAUGAAGAAACAGGCCUAAAGAACAAAGUUAAAAGAGAUCUUGUGUAGGAGAGAGUUCUUGGUCUGAAUUGUACUGAAGUUCUGUAGUAGUUGCAGCCUGUAUUAUUAUCUGCGAGAAAGGCCCAUGGAGGGAGGACUUACACUCUUGUAGCAGCUGAAUUUGGUGAAAUUUAUAAUGCUGAGAUAACAAGGUGUUGACAUUGGCCCAUAUCUUUUCCUCUUGUGAUUGCUUUCUGUUUGAAGUGAUUCAGUGUAUAUUAUAUUUGUAUUGCAAAUAUCACACUUGUAGUUUGUUUACAAAUGCUUGAGAGAUUUAUUGUCCUUAUUAUAUUUUAUUCUCUAAAUUAUAUAUGUAUUUCAGUUAAAUUAGAAUUUCAUGUCAUUUUAGCAAGAUUAAUAGAUAGCUUAGUAAUACUUCACAUUUAAUAGAGUUUCCUUAAGAUUAAGGCACCAUUCCUUAUGCCCUAAUUUAGUCUCUUGGGAACUGCCAGUUCAUUUUCUAUUGUGUUUCUCUGGAUUUUUUUCAUUUUAGUUUUGGCAUCUUCCACUCACAUUGUAAAAUAAUUCCAUUAGUAUUGUCAGAAUGCAGAAAUUGUGUUUUAUUAAAAGAGUACUUAACAGCUUUUUGAUAUUUCCCUGGCAAUUAUACACCCGUGAUGUAAAGUGUACGUCUUGUAAUAUGCAUAAAUAUUUCUAGCACUAUUUUAUAGAAAACAAGGAAAUAAAGCAUGAAUUAUUAUUUUCAGGAAACCACAAAAUCUGAGUUUGCAGAAAUCCAGAGCUUUGAUUACCCAGGUACCUCAGAUUAUAAGGCUGUAAACAAAUCCUCUGUCUACAGAAGAGGCAGGUGGUGAAUGUUGUGAGCAAGACUUCUUCCACCUCCACAGGAAUCCUAAGCUAGUAUUCUCCCUGGUGUUUGGGUAAGUUGCAAAUACUAAGUAUAUGAGAAAACACACAUGUCAAAAGUCAAGAGAAGAGGACGAAGAAAACCACAAAUAUGUAAAAAAUAAACUUUCAG